CCUACGGGAGGCAGCAGUGGGGAAUUUUGGACAAUGGGCGCAAGCCUGAUCCAGCAAUGCCGCGUGAGUGAAGAAGGCCUUCGGGUUGUAAAGCUCUUUUGUCAGGGAAGAAACGGUGGGGGCUAAUAUCUCCUACUAAUGACGGUACCUGAAGAAUAAGCACCGGCUAACUACGUGCCAGCAGCCGCGGUAAUACGUAGGGUGCAAGCGUUAAUCGGAAUUACUGGGCGUAAAGCGUGCGCAGGCGGUUUUGUAAGUCUGUCGUGAAAGCCCCGGGCUCAACCUGGGAAUUGCGAUGGAGACUGCAAGGCUUGAAUCUGGCAGAGGGGGGUAGAAUUCCACGUGUAGCAGUGAAAUGCGUAGAGAUGUGGAGGAACACCGAUGGCGAAGGCAGCCCCCUGGGUCAAGAUUGACGCUCAUGCACGAAAGCGUGGGGAGCAAACAGGAUUAGAUACCCUGGUAGUCCACGCCCUAAACGAUGUCUACUAGUUGUCGGGUUUUAAUUAACUUGGUAACGCAGCUAACGCGUGAAGUAGACCGCCUGGGGAGUACGGUCGCAAGAUUAAAACUCAAAGGAAUUGACGG
rnacentral:rRNA from 1 species